rnacentral:rRNA from 1 species
GACGUAGGGCGCGAGCGUUGUCCGGAUUUAUUGGGCGUAAAGAGCUCGUAGGCGGCUUGUCGCGUCGUCCGUGAAAACCCACAGCUCAACUGUGGGCUUGCGGUCGAUACGGGCAGGCUAGAGUUCGGUAGGGGAGACUGGAAUUCCUGGUGUAGCGGUGAAAUGCGUAGAUAUCGAGAGGAACACCAGUGGCGAAGGCGAGUCUCUGGACAUUUCCUGACGCUGAGGCACGAAAGCCAGGGGAGCAAACGGG